CUACAUUACAUGUUAAUUGGACAGAGUGCCAUUUUGAUAAAUCUUAAUUUCCCAGGAUGUUUAGGUUUUCUUUAGUGCAAUUCUCUGCUAAACAGAUGACAUUUAAUAAAGCAGCAAAUCGCUAUUCAUCUGAAUAAGCCUAAACAAACCUAUUAUACAUCAUAGUGUAUAGGCACUCCAGUGUUUUUUCAUCUGUUUUUCUUUCAAAACAGACUGGCCAGAACUCAAAAACUCUGAACGUCUCAUUGGGAGCAGGACAAACAACUUUUUAAAAAGGAAGCCUCUAUCCAUGUCAUUCAUCUCAAGAAGAGAUGACCCCUUAAAAGUGACCUCCUCGCUGCGUACAACUGCGACUACAGCUAAAUACUGUUGUCCCUGGAUGACCUCAGUGCUUUGAUCUGUCAUUGAAGUUGCAGCUGAUUGAGUGCAGUUUUCCGGUGGUUCAUUCACAAGCCACUAGAUCGUGCCCUGAAACUUCAAGAAAGGCAGAGAACAAUGGAUUAUGACAAAGACGAAGGUUGGCUGAAGGAGCUGAUUCUGUCUUAAUCAGCUUUUCUAUGCUACCAUGAUGUCCUUGACUACUUUUUGGAAGCUUGUGAUGAUCAUCCUUCGAGGAAAUAUGGACGUUAAAAGAGGUCCCUUUGCAAAGAAUUCAAAGGGAAGACAGAGAUGAAACGGAGAUAUUAAACAUGAAAAAGGCAAAGCCAAGAAGACAUUCUAAGAUGGGGAAAAAUAAAGAGAGACUCCCAUGGUGUUGCAAUUAGAAGUUCAAACUGGAAUCUACUUUGCUCGUGGAAAUAUCAGUCAAGAUGCUGCAGCAAAGUCGUUACAGAAAAGUUCAUGGUGCAGACAGGUGAUGAUGGGGAGAAAAUGAAGUUAUGAUACAGAAGCAAAACAAGAGAUUUUAUCACAUCACUGGAUGGAAAACCCCGUGGUGCCGGAGGACAUACCCAGAGCCUACAGCCUUGACAGGAGUGUGGUUCAAUGGCACUUGUCACCCUGGUCACAGUCAGAGCUCUUGACUCACAAGUGGAGAGAAAAUAACCCCAAUCUGCCUUAGACCUUGUGCCUACAUCUUGCUUUCAGGCCUUCAGGUCAUUCACAGACAAAGUUUCCUACAGUUCAACAUCUGUCUGGCUUCAGCAUGAGAAUAACAAGGUGAUCUGAGAGACUAUAGGUUUUCAUCAUGAGCUGUUCCUCCUGGAUUUGACUGGAGAACUGGAACUGGGACAGACAUUAUAUUAUGGGAAAUGCCAUCUCAAUGGAUUCUACUCCAGAAUAAAAUAGCAAGUAAGCCAUUCCAUUAUAUAACAACUGAGCAAGCCCUUCAGCUACGGACAGUCCUAGUUGAGGUAAAGAGUUUUAGUAUGUAGUAAUAAUUAAAAAUAAAAGU